rnacentral:lncRNA from 13 species
CACACAAUGGUUGAUACUGUGUUCUAAAAGUUUAAAUACUGUUAUUUCUUGGAAUGGGAGAAAGGAGCCAUGUAAACUCUUUUCCUUUACUUUUAUCUGUGAUUAGGGAGAUGGAGUUUUGGGACCCUUGCUUCAGGUGGUGACCCAUUUAUGUGGUACUGCUUGGCCAAGUUAUUUCACUGCUGUUUGCCUUCAUUUUCUCACUGGUGAAACAGAAAUGAUGAUGCUUUACAAAAAUCUCAGAAACUUGAGAAACAAUGUAUUUGUUAGAAAUCCAUUGGUCUGUGUUUGGGCAAGGCUCCUGUUAAUGUCCAUUAGGCUCCAGAGCAGUCCUUAAAAUUGUCAAGUAUUUUUAUGUUUUUUUCUUUGCCAGGAGCAGCCUGUUCUGCUUCUGAAAUUGUAAGUAAGUCAUGAACCUAAAUGGCCAGGACUGAGAGCAAGCCUUGCUCUACCCUGAGCAAGAGGACCUUCUUUGAUGGGUUUCUUCCUCCUGGAAGGAGGCGAUGAGGGGAUGAGGAGAGCACAGAAGUGUUAAAGUGCCUGAAAUGCUAAACUGAGAUUUUGGGGAAUGGAUGAGGAAACUCCUUGAUCUUCAUGCAACUGCUCUGUGAUGCUGCCAUUAAACAACACAAAGUGAUGCUAUGCAGCCAGCUGGGCAAUCCAUUGCAGGAACAAGGCUCCCUCCUCUUGAAUCACCUUCAACUGAAAACAUGGUAAGAGGAACUUCAGCACCUGGGUGAGCAAUAAUCACUGUAGGAUCACCCAGGGAGUGUGAUGGAGACACACCAGCAUGCACAAGUUGCCUGUGAUGAGCAGCAAUUCAGAAGAGGCUCUUUACACAUCCAACAAGCUCCCUGAUGCUUGGGGUGGUGGUCGAUGCUUGCCCCAGAGCAAGGCAGAGCAGCCUGGGACUACCCUAGCUUGUAGCAGGCUGACUUGGGAAAGGCAGAUGUUUAACACUCAGAUACUGCUCUCAUGGAUGGGGUUCAUCUGGUCCCUGCUGAAAACAAGAGGAUUCUGCUUAAUUUGUGAAAAUGUGAGAUUAAAAUCACAGGAGGAGGUGUGGAAGGAGUAUUGCUCAAACUUCAGAAGAGUCUGCUUUAUAUACUUCCAGCAGAAAUGCCACAUUUCUGGUUUCUUUCACCAGCUGAAGGUGAACAGAUUUGAAGAAGUCUUUCAAACACAGACCUGGAUGCUCCAAAAAAGAAUCCAGCCAAUGCACUGCAGAUGA